GGGUUGUGAGGUUAAGCGACUAAGCGUACACGGUGGAUGCCCUGGCAGUCAGAGGCGAUGAAGGACGUGCUAAUCUGCGAUAAGCGUCGGUAAGGUGAUAUGAACCGUUAUAACCGGCGAUUUCCGAAUGGGGAAACCCAGUGUGAUUCGUCACACUAUCAUUAACUGAAUCCAUAGGUUAAUGAGGCGAACCGGGGGAACUGAAACAUCUAAGUACCCCGAGGAAAAGAAAUCAACCGAGAUUCCCCCAGUAGCGGCGAGCGAACGGGGAGCAGCCCAGAGCCUGAAUCAGUGUGUGUGUUAGUGGAAGCGUCUGGAAAGGCGUGCGAUACAGGGUGACAGCCCCGUACACAAAAAUGCACAUGCUGUGAGCUCGAUGAGUAGGGCGGGACACGUGGUAUCCUGUCUGAAUAUGGGGGGACCAUCCUCCAAGGCUAAAUACUCCUGACUGACCGAUAGUGAACCAGUACCGUGAGGGAAAGGCGAAAAGAACCCCGGCGAGGGGAGUGAAAAAGAACCUGAAACCGUGUACGUACAAGCAGUGGGAGCACNNAGCAAUCUGUGUGACUGCGUACCUUUUGUAUAAUGGGUCAGCGACUUAUAUUCUGUAGCAAGGUUAACCGAAUAGGGGAGCCGAAGGGAAACCGAGUCUUAACUGGGCGUUAAGUUGCAGGGUAUAGACCCGAAACCCGGUGAUCUAGCCAUGGGCAGGUUGAAGGUUGGGUAACACUAACUGGAGGACCGAACCGACUAAUGUUGAAAAAUUAGCGGAUGACUUGUGGCUGGGGGUGAAAGGCCAAUCAAACCGGGAGAUAGCUGGUUCUCCCCGAAAGCUAUUUAGGUAGCGCCUCGUGAAUUCAUCUCCGGGGGUAGAGCACUGUUUCGGCAAGGGGGUCAUCCCGACUUACCAACCCGAUGCAAACUGCGAAUACCGGAGAAUGUUAUCACGGGAGACACACGGCGGGUGCUAACGUCCGUCGUGAAGAGGGAAACAACCCAGACCGCCAGCUAAGGUCCCAAAGUCAUGGUUAAGUGGGAAACGAUGUGGGAAGGCCCAGACAGCCAGGAUGUUGGCUUAGAAGCAGCCAUCAUUUAAAGAAAGCGUAAUAGCUCACUGGUCGAGUCGGCCUGCGCGGAAGAUGUAACGGGGCUAAACCAUGCACCGAAGCUGCGGCAGCGACGCUUAUGCGUUGUUGGGUAGGGGAGCGUUCUGUAAGCCUGCGAAGGUGUGCUGUGAGGCAUGCUGGAGGUAUCAGAAGUGCGAAUGCUGACAUAAGUAACGAUAAAGCGGGUGAAAAGCCCGCUCGCCGGAAGACCAAGGGUUCCUGUCCAACGUUAAUCGGGGCAGGGUGAGUCGACCCCUAAGGCGAGGCCGAAAGGCGUAGUCGAUGGGAAACAGGUUAAUAUUCCUGUACUUGGUGUUACUGCGAAGGGGGGACGGAGAAGGCUAUGUUGGCCGGGCGACGGUUGUCCCGGUUUAAGCGUGUAGGCUGGUUUUCCAGGCAAAUCCGGAAAAUCAAGGCUGAGGCGUGAUGACGAGGCACUACGGUGCUGAAGCAACAAAUGCCCUGCUUCCAGGAAAAGCCUCUAAGCAUCAGGUAACAUCAAAUCGUACCCCAAACCGACACAGGUGGUCAGGUAGAGAAUACCAAGGCGCUUGAGAGAACUCGGGUGAAGGAACUAGGCAAAAUGGUGCCGUAACUUCGGGAGAAGGCACGCUGAUAUGUAGGUGAAGUCCCUCGCGGAUGGAGCUGAAAUCAGUCGAAGAUACCAGCUGGCUGCAACUGUUUAUUAAAAACACAGCACUGUGCAAACACGAAAGUGGACGUAUACGGUGUGACGCCUGCCCGGUGCCGGAAGGUUAAUUGAUGGGGUUAGCGCAAGCGAAGCUCUUGAUCGAAGCCCCGGUAAACGGCGGCCGUAACUAUAACGGUCCUAAGGUAGCGAAAUUCCUUGUCGGGUAAGUUCCGACCUGCACGAAUGGCGUAAUGAUGGCCAGGCUGUCUCCACCCGAGACUCAGUGAAAUUGAACUCGCUGUGAAGAUGCAGUGUACCCGCGGCAAGACGGAAAGACCCCGUGAACCUUUACUAUAGCUUGACACUGAACAUUGAGCCUUGAUGUGUAGGAUAGGUGGGAGGCUUUGAAGUGUGGACGCCAGUCUGCAUGGAGCCGACCUUGAAAUACCACCCUUUAAUGUUUGAUGUUCUAACGUUGACCCGUAAUCCGGGUUGCGGACAGUGUCUGGUGGGUAGUUUGACUGGGGCGGUCUCCUCCUAAAGAGUAACGGAGGAGCACGAAGGUUGGCUAAUCCUGGUCGGACAUCAGGAGGUUAGUGCAAUGGCAUAAGCCAGCUUGACUGCGAGCGUGACGGCGCGAGCAGGUGCGAAAGCAGGUCAUAGUGAUCCGGUGGUUCUGAAUGGAAGGGCCAUCGCUCAACGGAUAAAAGGUACUCCGGGGAUAACAGGCUGAUACCGCCCAAGAGUUCAUAUCGACGGCGGUGUUUGGCACCUCGAUGUCGGCUCAUCACAUCCUGGGGCUGAAGUAGGUCCCAAGGGUAUGGCUGUUCGCCAUUUAAAGUGGUACGCGAGCUGGGUUUAGAACGUCGUGAGACAGUUCGGUCCCUAUCUGCCGUGGGCGCUGGAGAACUGAGGGGGGCUGCUCCUAGUACGAGAGGACCGGAGUGGACGCAUCACUGGUGUUCGGGUUGUCAUGCCAAUGGCACUGCCCGGUAGCUAAAUGCGGAAGAGAUAAGUGCUGAAAGCAUCUAAGCACGAAACUUGCCCCGAGAUGAGUUCUCCCUGACUCCUUGAGAGUCCUGAAGGAACGUUGAAGACGACGACGUUGAUAGGCCGGGUGUGUAAGCGCAGCGAUGCGUUGAGCUAACCGGUACUAAUGAACCGUGAGGCUUAACCUUACAACGCCGAAGGUGUUU
rnacentral:rRNA from 1 species